UACGGGAGGCAGCAGUGAGGAAUAUUGGACAAUGGUUGGAAGACUGAUCCAGCCAUGCCGCGUGCAGGAUGAAGGUCCUAUGGAUUGUAAACUGCUUUUGUAAGGGAAGAAUAAGGGUACGUGUACUUUGAUGACGGUACCUUACGAAUAAGCAUCGGCUAACUCCGUGCCAGCAGCCGCGGUAAU
rnacentral:rRNA from 1 species